AUUGAACGCUGGCGGCAGGCUUAACACAUGCAAGUCGAGCGGGGUGAUGGUGCUUGCACUAUCACUUAGCGGCGGACGGGUGAGUAAUGCUUAGGAAUCUGCCUAUUAGUGGGGGACAACAUCUCGAAAGGGAUGCUAAUACCGCAUACGUCCUACGGGAGAAGGCAGGGGAUCACUUGUGACCUUGCGCUAAUAGAUGAGCCUAAGUCGGAUUAGCUAGGGGAGGGGUAAAGGCCUACCAAGGCGAAGAUCUGUAGCGGGUCUGAGAGGAUGAUCCGCCACACUGGGACUGAGACACGGCCCAGACUCCUACGGGAGGCAGCGGUGGGGAAUAUUGGACAAUGGGGGGAACCCUGAUCCAGCCAUGCCGCGUGUGUGAAGAAGGCCUUAUGGUUGUAAAGCACUUUAAGCGAGGAGGAGGCUCUUUUGGUUAAUACCCAAGAUGAGUGGACGUUACUCGCAGAAUAAGCACCGGCUAACUCUAUGCCAGCAGCCGCGGUAA
rnacentral:rRNA from 1 species